GACGAACGCUGGCGGCGUGCUUAACACAUGCAAGUCGAACGGUGAAGCGAGUGCUUGCACUCGUGGAUCAGUGGCGAACGGGUGAGUAACACGUGAGUAACCUGCCCAUCACUCUGGGAUAAGCACUGGAAACGGUGUCUAAUACUGGAUACGACCAACCCUUGCAUGGGGUGUUGGUGGAAAGAUUUAUCGGUGAUGGAUGGACUCGCGGCCUAUCAGCUUGUUGGCGGGGUAAUGGCCCACCAAGGCGACGACGGGUAGCCGGCCUGAGAGGGUGACCGGCCACACUGGGACUGAGACACGGCCCAGACUCCUACGGGAGGCAGCAGUGGGGAAUAUUGCACAAUGGGCGAAAGCCUAAUGCAGCGACGCCGCGUGAGGGAUGACGGCCUUCGGGUUGUAAACCUCUUUCAGCAGGGAAGAAGCGAAAGUGACGGUACCUGCAGAAGAAGCACCGGCUAACUACGUG
rnacentral:rRNA from 1 species